AAAGUAUGUGGCUCGUUUUGAUGCGGCCAUCUUAGAAGUGAAAAAUUUUAAUAAAUCAGUUGCCAUGUUUGCUUUGAAGAAAGGACUUUGGAGCAAUCAUCUAUUUUUUUUUGAAUAAAAAUUUUUUGGAUACCUAUGAUGAGAUGCUCGACUGGAUGCGUAAGUACGCUCAGGCCGAGGAGGAGGAAGCUAUUUUAAGGCAGGCAAAGAAGGAUAACAAUAAGAAAAAAUAAUUGAGGG
rnacentral:lncRNA from 1 species